ACUGAACGCUGGCGGCGUGCUUAACACAUGCAAGUCGAUCGGCAACAGGUGUAGCAAUACAUGCUGACGAGAGGCGGACGGGUGAGUAAUGCUUGGGAAUCUGCCUAUUAGUGGGGGACAACCCGGGGAAACUCGGGCUAAUACCGCAUACGCUCUACGGAGGAAAGCCGGGGACCGCAAGGCCUGGCGCUAAUAGAUGAGCCCAAGUCGGAUUAGCUAGUUGGUAGGGAACGGCCUACCAAGGCGACAAUCCGUAGCUGGUCUGAGAGGACGACCAGCCACACCGGAACUGAGACACGGUCCGGACUCCUACGGGAGGCAGCAGUGGGGAAUAUUGGACAAUGGGGCAACCCUGAUCCAGCGACGCCGCGUGGGUGAAGAAGGCCUGCGGGUUGUAAAGCCCUUUCGGGUGGGGAAGAAAGUCUCGACCUAAUACGUCGGGACCUUGACGUAACCCACUAAAGAAGCACCGGCUAACUCUGUGCCA
rnacentral:rRNA from 1 species